GGAGGGUUGGCAGAGCGGCCGAAUGCGCUGGUUUUGAAAACCAGUUUGGGGCAACCCAACGGGGGUUCGAAUCCCUCACCCUCCGCCA
rnacentral:tRNA from 1 species